UUAUUUUUUACUACACUACAUAUUUUGGUAAAGCAUUUACCUAAGUUAUGGAAAAUUCAUAAUUCAUUAGUUAUCUUAGAUAAUACUAAAAAACAAUUAGGUUUACGACGAAACCUAGAAAUCGAUCACUGA
rnacentral:rRNA from 1 species